CUCUAUUUUUCUUUUUUUCCUUUUUUCUUUUUUUUUUUUCUAUGACCAUUAUUCUU
rnacentral:ribozyme from 1 species